rnacentral:tRNA from 2 species
GGAAAGGUGGCAGAGAGGUCGAAUGCAUCGGUUUUGAAAACCGACGUAGCUUAACGGUUACCGAGGGUUCGAAUCCCUCCCUUUCCG